UACGUAGGGGGCAAGCGUUGUCCGGAAUCAUUGGGCGUAAAGAGCGUGUAGGCGGCCUGGUAAGUCCGCUGUGAAAGUCCAGGGCUCAACCCUGGAAUGCCGGUGGAAACUGUCAGGCUCGAGUCCGGAAGAGGCGAGUGGAAUUCCUGGUGUAGCGGUGAAAUGCGCAGAUAUCAGGAGGAACACCAAUGGCGAAGGCAGCUCGCUGGGACGUGACUGGCGCUGAGACGCGAAAGCGUGGGGAGCAAACAGG
rnacentral:rRNA from 1 species